CCACCAAACACAUGUCCAAAGCAGGACGCACAGACAUGCUCACCCUCUUGGCCAUGCGCUGGAAUCAGCAAAAGACUGACAACUUGGCCACCUCACUGUCCCGCAGAUAUCUGAGGACCACAAAAGCUCUGGAUGCCCAAAAGCGGAACAUGGAGUCCAUGAAGACCGAAUUGGACGUCACAGAGAACCAGAUGGAGGACUGGGUCAGUGACGUGAAGGA